GAAGAUCAGAUCUUCCCCUCCUCGGGUGCGAUCAGCUUGAGUGGGAGUCUGAUCGCGCCAGAAGAAAAGAUUGGCUGCAGCUGAUCUUUGCCUCAUCGGGCGCAAUCAGCUGGAAUGUGUGAGUCACAGCCCCCAAAGAGGAUAAAAUCGGCUGUAGCGAGCUGCAGCUGAUCUUUCGUUCGGGCGUGAUCAGCUGGAGUGAGUGAGUCUGACUGCCCCCAAAGAGGGUAAGAUCAGCUGUAGCAUGCUACAGCUGAUCUUACCCUCCUCGGCACGAUCAGUGCUGGAGUCUGAUCACGCCAGAAGAGAAGAUCGGCUGUAGCGAGUUAUAGCUGAUCACCCCACUGGCGCCGUAUCAAUGGAACACUGAAAAGCAGAGCCCUACUGUAUAUUGUGUGUGUGGUUCCCCCCCCCCUUAGUCUAAGACCAAUGUAUUUUAUAGUAGUGGGGCACAUUAAAACAGCCUUUUGGUGCCUUUCCAGUUGGAAAGCUUGCUAUCACAUAAUUCAUGCUUUAGAAUGAGUGCCUUUUGUAUUUUAUUUAGAAUCUAAGGCUCCUACUGAAGGGGGUUGUGGUUUUGCAUGUGUUGAGCUCCUAAUGAGACUACCAGCUCCUAAAAGGGUAGUUCUCUACCAGUCUAGUACAAGUUGAGGGAGCACAUAGGUUUAUCCUCUAGAACUAACCUGGUUAUGGAAGCUGUCAUUCUCAAAAUUGCAGGUACUACACAACAAUAUUAAGAUUAUAGUUGUGUUUAAAUCUGAAGCAUACUCUGUAAGUAGCUUGGUCAUGCCAAAUUUAAUUGUCUCAUUUGCCAUGUGUAGCUAAUGUAAGUGUGCAAUAUGAUGAUGCAUUUGGCAGCAACAUAAUGUUAAAUACAUUGAUGGGAUUUAAACCUUUAAGCUGCAACAGAGAACACUAAGAGUAACUUGGAAUGGUACCUGGAGUUCUGGUUGCCCCACCGUAAAAAUGAUACAUAGGUGGAAAAGUCACAGAAAAGGCAGCUAAAAUCAUCAAGGGUUUAGAUCUUAUUUCCUAUCCUAAUGGAGAGGGAACAUACGACUGUUCCUAAAACUAUUAACUAUAUAGAUAAUAUUUUCAUGAUAAUUGGAAUUCAGAGUUGCCCAGUCAAACCAGCAGUAGGUUGACACUACUAAAAAGUAUUACCUCUUGUGCUACCACAUAGUGUAGCAAUGGUUACUAGCUUACAUUAAUUUGAAAUAAGCAUAUCCUGCAUGAAUUACAUGUAUCUGUAGCUAUUGGCCAUGAUUGAGCUUCCGUAGACAGGCAGUAAUACUCCAGAUAUACUAGCUCCUGGGGUCAAAUGUGAAGGUAAUCAUUACUGUGUAGAGAGCCAUCUGAUUAAGUACUGGAAGAAACUGCUGGGAUACAUAAAUCUUGGUCUAAUGUUUGGCAAAAAUUUUAAAAAUGCCAAUAGUACUACAGGAGUCCCAAAAUAUGUAUAUAAUCUAUAGCAAACUAAAUUGUGCAAACCUGCAUAGUUCACCUGUAUGUCCAAUGGAAGUUGUUGCUGUUAAGUAUGUGAACACCAGGGCACUUGGGUAUGAAAGCAGGCAGGGGUGAGGAUGGUACUUAGCCUUUACCUAAACAUUGCUAUUGUAGGUGCACACUGGAGAAAAUACUGAACAUGGCCUUGUCUACUAAACAUCAGUAAUUGACCAAUAGCUAUAUGGGAGAAAGUCCCCAGUGGGUUUUCCUGCAAGAGAAGUGGGUGGGUGUGUUACCCCCUUAACAGGCACUGUAGUUCAAAUACGUGAAUAUCGCUAUAUGCACUACAGUUGUUUCCACUACCUGCAUGCCUCAAGCUUUCCAUUUCUCCCACCCUCCCUUUCACUUGUGUUUUAUGAACAUGGUGUAAUCCACAAUCCUCUAAACUGGAAGGAGAAGCCCGCUAUAUUAGCAAAGCACUGCAUUUGUUAGGGUUUACCUUUUAAUAUAAACUCACUGUGUGUGUGUAUGCUGUUGUUUUUCAUGUAUUAAACUUGGGUUUCUAUUUUAGUAAUGGCCAUUAGUUAUGUGCCUUCAAGUCAAUUAUGACUUACGGCAACCCUAUGAAUCAGUGACCUCCAAGAGCAUCUGUCGUGAGCCACCCUGUUCAGAUCUUGUCAGAUCUCUGUUUGAAAAUGGAAAUGGACUGCCUUCAAAUCGAUCCUGACUUACGGCCACCCUAUGAGUUGGGAUUUCAUGACCACACUCACCAUAGAUGAUAGGCCUCCGGGUGCCUACCUCAAGGGAAGCUGGGAGGAUGGCAACAAGGGAGAGGGCCUUCUCAGUGGUGGCCCCCAAAUUAUGGAAAGAUCUUCCUGACAAGGAAGGUCUUAAAUCAAGCAUCUGCGGUUCAGCAGCCACCUAUCUAAUCUAAUCUAAUGCUGGGAGUGGACUCAGAUGAGCAACACACCCCUCUGGGCCAAGUCAGAAUGACGGCAGUCUCUGCAGAAAGAAGCCCCAGGCAACCAAUCCAAGGAUAGAACCACAGGCAACAAUCCGAUACGUACCGUUCCAAUUUUUCUGGUUAGCUCUGCAAGCAGGAUCAGUAGUGUCUGGUGCCCUUUGAGAUUGGCGAGGCAGAAGGCACAGAGGCCAUUUGUACACAGAACCACAGCUAAUACCUGACAAAGCCAAUUACUGCUAGUGUUGUCCUGAUCCUCCUCCGUGCUUAGUUCUAUAAAGCCAACAGUGACUAAGAAGGAAGAAGCUGACAGUCAGGGCCACCUUGAGGAUGGCUGGUAAGCAGGAAGGCAGACAGGUGUGGGCUGGCUGACAGCUGGCCAAGAGCUGAGACUGAUCAGUGCCCCAUCUGCCUUAAUGGACCAACCUCCAGUGGGCAGGAUACUAAGUUAGAUGAGCGAAGAAUAAGGAAGAAAUGGAGAGCCAGAUGAGAAGAGAAGCCUAGGAGGUAGCAGCAAAUUGUUUGGGGGUGUAAGGUUAAGGGAAUUGCACCUCCAGACUGUCAGUAUUUUGUGGGAGGGUUUAAAGCACUUGCUGGGAAAUUUAAGUUUGCACAAUUUAAAGUGUUGUCACCAUAGCACAACAAAACCAAUUCAAAUAAACAGAAUUGUUGCAAGUAGAAAAUAGAUAGGGAAAUGCAUUGAAAAGUGUGGAAUGAACUGAUUAUUAAUGGAAAGACGUAUAAACAUCCUGCAAGCAACUCCUUGUCGUACAACCUCCUCACAAGCAAAUCAGAAUGAAUGCUCAAUAAAGACCGGAUAUAAUCUAACAUGCCCAUAGGCUUUCUGCAAACAAAUCAGGAAGAAUGCUCAACAAAUAAGUCCUCUGGAGGAGCCCAGAUUCUCUUUCACGUUGCAAUGAACUGGACAAAAGGUGAGGCUGAGCACUUGCCAUUCAAGGCACAACACAAAGUUGUGGAACUUGCAGAAGAGUUUGCUCAUCUCUCAGCAGCUGCUCAUGGAUCCUCCUCCUCCUCUUCUCUCUCUUUGUUCUUUGUGAUUCUUCCUCAUAUUAUUGCUACUUCAUUUUUGAUCAAUUUUUCCUUCAAACGCCUGCAACUUCAAAGUUCUACCUAAAAGGCCACAACAGUUGACUAGAUAGGAUUUAAAGGAUUCCUAAAAGAUCCUUUUAGGAGAAAAACGAUGAAUGUGUGUGUAAGGAAGCUCUUUGAAGGGCUGAACUCCUACUUGUCUUGACUUUCCUAUGCAUAAAGUGUUGCCUCCAUUUUUUAUUAUAUAGCCAUGAGAGUUGGCUGUAUACUAUAGCCAGCGUGGAUUUUUCACAUUCAGCAAUGUUAAAUUGAAAAUACCCCUGAUGCCAUUCUGAUGCUUCCCAUAAGCUCAUUUCAAAAUAAAACCUUACAAAACUUACAGUCCUGAACUCAGAAACGCUUUCUUAACAACCCUCUAAAUUUUCAUUGUGAUACACAACACAGUCAGAGAGAAUCGAGAGUUCCAAGUCUAAAAAGAAAGGGAAAAAACCCCAAAGCCCUUUUGGACUUUUUUCUCUCAGAGUUCUCAUAAUCUGUUGAAAUUCAUUAAAAAUCAGCCAUAUUCACAGAGUACCUAUAAUCCUAUUACUGAACUUGUCCCAUACUCUGACCUUCAUCUUCUGCAAUUUAAAAGUUGAAAAAAUGCCUGGCUGAUUUUUAAUUAAUUUAAGAAAUUUUGGCUGGCACCCUAUGAUAACGCGGGGCAUGCUCAGUAAGAUCCAACUGUCGGAGUUCUAAAAGCCAGACUCACAGCUGCUUGGCUUGGCUUGGCUAA